UUUUAUGUGACGUUUCUUACUGUGCAAUAGGAUGAUUUCAUGUGUUUAAAAUCCGCUGUUACAAUAAAAAACAACCACCCUAUUCGCAGGAAGUUGUUUGUAGGAGAUGGUUUUCGACGUCAAACAGUAAGAACUUGUUUAAUCUGCGGCGAAGGGCCGACAGCGGAUUUGUGAGAGUUGGAAAUAUUUCAGAAUGGAACGCGUCCAAUGGAGAUUACGCCGCUCUCCUCAUCACGAUACUACAACGAGGAAAAAGUGGCAAAGAGGACCAGCAUAUAAUUGAGCCGAAGCGUAAACAACGCGUCCAUCAAGGUGUAGCGGGGCCAGAGGGUUUUAAACCGGCUACGUUUACUGUUACCUUCGCUUCGCAGCUCUCCGGCGGCUGCCGCAGGCUCCCCCGGACACCAUGGUUUGUACUCUGAGGAGCAGAGAGUUUACAGUCGCUUCGGCUGUACUGAACUGAGCAGUGUGCUAUAGGCGAGCGGAGGCAGUGUGGCUCCAAAACAAUCCCCAGCGCCUCUAUUGUCUGAAAGCAGCGCGUCUAGAAGAUGGGGCAUCCUCCGCUAGAGUUCAGUGACUGCUACAAGGACAGUCCAGACUUCAGGGAGACCCUCAAGUGUUACGAAUUGGAGCUAGACAGGACGAGCAAAUUCCUCAAAGAGUUGAUCAAAGAUGGCAACAGUGUUAUUACUGCAAUCAAGGGCUAUUCCUUGGCAGUGCAGAAGUUUUCCCAGACUCUGAGUGGAUUCCAGUUUGACUUUAUUGGCGACUCCCUGACAGAUGAUGAGAUUAACAUAGCUGAGUCAUUCCAGGAGUUUGCCGGACUCCUGCAGGAAGUGGAGCACGACAGGAUGAUGCUGGUCCAGAAUGCAUCCAAUCUCCUCAUCCGGCCCUUAGAGAAGUUCAGAAAGGAGCAGAUAGGCGCAACAAAAGAAAAGAAGAAGAAGUUUGAAAAAGAGAGUGAAAAAUAUUACUCCCUGCUAGAUAAACAUUUGAACAUUUCUGCCAAGAAGAAGGAGAGUCAGCUUCAGGAGGCCGAUGAGCUCCUCGACAGGGAAAGGGUGAAUUUCUAUGAAUCAUCAGUGGAAUACGUAUACCAGAUCCAUCAAGUUCAGGACAGGAAGAAGUUUGAUGUUGUGGAGCCGGUGCUGGCGUUCCUUCACAGCAUUUUAACUCUCAACAACUUGACAGUGGAGAUGACUCAGGACUUUAUGCCUUAUAAGCAGGAGCUGCAGCUCAGCCUGCAGAAUACCAGAAACCACUAUGAUAGCACUUGUGAGGAACUGGAGGAGCUGAUGAAGAGAAUGAAACAUCCAUCUCAAAUUUCAAAGAUGCAAAAUUUUCUGCCGCUGGAGGGUUAUUUGUACUGUCAGGAGAAGCGGGCUUUGGGUGCAUCAUGGGUCAAAUAUUUUUGCAAGUAUCACAAGGAGGGGAGAAGGCUGAUCAUGGUCUCCUGUGAACAGAAGCCUGCAACAAAGCAGGCCCCACUGCUACUCACUCUGAAAUCCUGCAUUCGUCGCAAGACGGAGUCCAUCGACAAGCGCUUCUGCUUUGACGUAGAAACCGUCGAAAGAAACGCACCCGUCACUUUCCAGGCCCUAUCGGAGGGGGACAGAAAGUUGUGGAUGGAGGCCAUGGAUGGAAAAGAGCCUAUUUAUCACUCCCCGAUUCACAAGCAAGCAGAAAUGGAACUAAAUGAAACCGGAUUCAAGUUUGUGAAAAAGUGUAUCAACUACAUUGAAACUGAAGGAGCCACACAAGAAGGAGUAUACAGGACGGUCGGCAGCAACAUCCAAGUGCAGAAGCUCUUAAAUGCCUUCUUUGAUCCCUUAAAUCCUGGAAGUGUGGAUUUCAACAGCAGCGACUGGGAUGAUAAAACCAUCACAAGUGCAUUGAAGUUCUACCUGAGGAGUCUAUCUGAACCUCUAAUGACCUACGAUUUGCACAGACAACUCCUGAUUGCCGCAAAAUCCGAUAAUCUGGACUUUCGACUAAGUGAAAUUCAUUUACUUAUCUACAAACUACCAGAGAAGAAUCGUGAAAUGUUGGAGAUGCUUAUUAGGCACUUAGUAAACGUAUGCAGCCAAAGUGAUGAAAACCUGAUGACUCCCUCCAACAUGGCAGUUAUCUUCGGGCCCACACUCAUGAGAGCGAAGGAGGAAACGGUGGCGGCCAUGCUUGAUAUCAAGUUCCAAAACAUUGUGGUUGAGAUUCUGAUCGAGGACUACAAAAAGAUCUUCACUUGUAAGCCGGAGGACAGCGCCUCCCCACCUAUCCCUCCUCCACGGAUCACCCCGAGAAAGCGGCAGCCAAUCACCAUCUCCAAACGGCCGGCUCGUCUUUACCAACCUCUUAGUCACGAGCACUUCCAGCACGCAGAGAAUGGCCAGAAAGACACCUCUAUCGUGGAUGGGGAUGUCUCAGCAAGCCCCAAACCCAUAAAGCCACUUAAACCUGCUUCCUGUGCUCCACUCGCUCCAAGAGAGCCUCCUUUGAGACUAGCGGGGAUGCCCAGACCGGCCAACCGUCAGGACAGGCAAGCUGACUCUGAUGCUGAGAAGUUAAGUGAUGUGACGCAAAAGCUUGACUCUUCCGUGGCAGCAAACGGGGAUUCCGGCGUCUGCGUGAGCAGGGUGCCGUCAUUUCAACGUCAAAAAGCUCCUCCAAAGGGAACGCCAGCCAACCGAGAAGGACAUUCUGAUGGUUUGACCAAAACAAGGUUUGCUGAGAAACAUCCCAUUUGUCGACCCCCUAUCAGGCCCCCUGAGCCCCCCUCCAGAUUCCCCGCUCCACAAAAGCUUCCAGUUGCAGCCAGCAGUGAGGGCAACCCCACAUCCUAACCUUCACAUCUCUCAGCUCUCAGCCAUCACCCACCUUCCCCGAUACAGAGGACUCCAACCCACAGUCCCCACCCCCACAACCAUCCUGUCCCUUUCAACACUUCAGUGUUGCAUCAAAGACCAAGUUUUUUGAGAAUGCAUCAAGACAAGUUGUCAGUCCAGCAACCUCUCCAGGGACAAAUGUGAAAAAAGAGAAAUGAAGUUAAAAGGUGGAACAGUGGACAGCAUCAUGCAACCUCAACACAUGUUCUUAGCUGCAUAUUAAGCUGUGGAGAGUUCCUGCUAGUGCAUUCAGAUUAUGUGAGAAAUAAGCUCCCAUCAGAACUGAAUACAUUUGUUUGGGUUCCAGAUAUGAGUGGUGUUGUAAAGCAACACUGUUGGCACAACAACAGACUCUGUUUGAUUGUCAUUCCCCACACCUGUUGAGUUGUUCAUCACCUGUAGGCUUUUUGAAGGUUUGAUUUGUGUUAAUUACUUUUUGCUAGUGUUACUUAUAUAAAGUAACCAGUAUGCUUGUUAUAACUUACAAUGCUAAUAGUUGGUCUUAGCAGUGUGAAAUAGUUGCCCCAAAGAAGACUAACUGAUCUAAACUUGACUUUAUCUGUUUAGUCAUGUGAAAUUGUAAUCUAUUACUUUAAAUAAUAACUUUUGUAACCACAUAGAAUGUUACAAGUUGUGAAGAAAACCUUCCAAUGUUUUAUUGUUAUUUCUGUUCUUAAUGUUGUGUAUAUUUCACUUGUUUUUUGAUAACUCAACUUGAAAUUUCUUGCCUAUUUUAAAAAAAGAGAAAUAAACAGGAAGAGAUCUUUGAAUGA